rnacentral:rRNA from 1 species
AACGAACGCUGGCGGCAGGCCUAACACAUGCAAGUCGAACGCGUCCUUCGGGACGAGUGGCAGACGGGUGAGUAACGCGUGGGAACGUACCCUUUGGUUCGGAACAACAGCGGGAAACUGCUGCUAAUACCGGAUAAGCCCUUCGGGGGAAAGAUUUAUCGCCAGAGGAUCGGCCCGCGUUAGAUUAGCUUGUUGGUGAGGUAAUGGCUCACCAAGGCUACGAUCUAUAGCUGGUCCGAGAGGAUGAUCAGCCACACUGGGACUGAGACACGGCCCAGACUCUUACGGGAGGCAGCAGUGGGGAAUCUUGGACAAUGGGCGAAAGCCUGAUCCAGCCAUGCCGCGUGAAUGAUGAAGGCCCUAGGGUUGUAAAAUUCUUUCGACGGGGAAGAUAAUGACGGUACCCGUAGAAGAAGCUCCGGCUAACUUCGUGCCAGCAGCCGCGGUAAU